GCAUAAUCAUUAGUCUUUUAAUUGAAGGCUGGUAUGAAUGGUUGGAUGAGGUACAAGCUGUGUCAUAAAAAUUAACUUUAGAAUUUACCUUUUUAGUCAAAAGGCUAAAAUAAAAUUAAAAGACGAGAAGACCCUAUAGAGCUUUAUAUAAUUUGUAUUUAAAUUAUUCAGAUUUUUUAAAUUUAAUUAUUUUAUUGUAUUUUGUUGGGGUGACAAUAAAAUUUAUAAAACUUUUAUUUUUAUUGACCAUUUAUUUAUGAGUAUAUGAUCCAGUUUUAUUGAUUAUAAAUUUAAGUUACCUUAGGGAUAACAGCGUAAUUUUUUUUGAGAGUUCUUAUCGA
rnacentral:rRNA from 1 species